CCUACGGGAGGCUGCAGUCGAGAAUCAUUCACAAUGGGGGAAACCCUGAUGGUGCGACGCCGCGUGGGGGAAUGAAGGUCUUCGGAUUGUAAACUCCUGUUAUGCGGGAGCAAAUUAAAAAGAUAGUACCACAUGAGGAAUAGACGGCUAACUCUGUGCCAGCAGCUGCGGUAAUACAGCGGUCUCAAGCGUUGUUCGGAAUCACUGGGCGUAAGGCGUGCGUAGGCUGUUUCGUAAGUCGUGUGUGAAAGGCGCGGGCUCAACCCGCGGACGGCACAUGGUACUGGGAGACUAGAGGAAGAGGAGGGGAGCCGGAAUUCGCGGUGUAGCAGUGAAAUGCGUAGAUAUCGAGAAGAACACUCAUGGCGAAGGCAGGUUCCUGGACAUUAACUGACGCUGAGGCACGAAGGCCAGGGGAGCGAAAGGGAUUAGAUACCCGAGUAGUC
rnacentral:rRNA from 1 species